rnacentral:lncRNA from 1 species
UAAGAAAGUUUGAUCAUUUAUCUUGGGGCUGUUUUCAAUAAAUAUUUUAAUUUGUCCACGUACAUCAGUAAAAUCUUUGUCUCUGCAAAGGAUGUUUCAUAAAAUGUUGCUUUUGGGAAUCUUUUGAUGCUUCAGUACUACGAGGAUAUAGCAAUUUAACCAUUUAUAAAAAUGUUCAAGAUACAACUAUAUCUUGUACUUGUGCUUGCUUACACCAAUUUAUUACAAUUCAUACAGUAAUACACCAAAAAUAAUUCUAUAAAACUGAGAGUUACUGACAAUUUUCCGUACAAAACUACAUUUUUUAUCUAUGAAAGUAUAAUCCAAAUUCAAAUAAAACAUAUUUAAUAAUUAAGGUGGUAUUGUUAUAAAGCUUGAAAAAAAAAUUGGUCUAUUUAAAAGUAAAACAAUAUUUUAAAAUAAUUUUUGUUUGCAAUGCAAAAAUCAAUAUAAAUCUUGUGACGCGCGGUGUUCAACUUUAGUCAGCGCCAAGCGCUUAUCGAGGGAGGACGUAUCGCUCGCUGUUGCGCCGCGCAAACUCGCCGGAGCUCGAAAAAUAUAGCGCAACCUGCGCAACGAACUCGUUUUGAUACUAGAUAAUGAAAGCAUAUUUAAUUCAGAUUAUCAGACUCAAUCGGAUACCAGUACAAAUAAUAUGGAAAAUGAAGAUACAAUACAUGGAAGACGAAUUAUAGAUUUUAGUUUUUUUAUAAAUCAAUUACUUAUACCUA